CAUCAAUUAUUUCUGCUCAUCAAGGCUCUUUAAUGCAGUCCCCUAGAGAUUCCUUUUAACUUAAGGUCACUGAGGAGGAAUGUGAGAGAAUCAGAAAUGGAGCUUCUUAAUCAAGAGAACAAGCAGUCUAUGUGUAUUCAUAGGAAUCACCACAAACUAUCAACUAAGUUCAAUGAAAUCAGGGAUCUCACUCUCAAGCUCUAAUGUUGAGAUGAGGACAGUCAUCCUCCACAAGCAGAUGGCAUCAGGUACUUCGACCUGAGCAUAAAGGAGAACCUGUAUCAUUAUUGAAACAGAUUGUUGUAUAUCUAAUACUGAUUGAUAACUGAUCAGUGUGUGUUACAGUCAUCUGUGGUUUACUUCAGAUGUUGCCUUGACUUUUUAUGAUUUUUAAUACAAUGCUUCUCAAGCUA